AGUACAACGGGAAGCGAAGCCGCGAGGUGGAGCCAAUCCUAUCAAAGCUGGUCUCACUUCGGAUUGCAGGCUGCAACUCGCCUGCAUGAAGUCGGAAUUGCUAGUAAUCGCGGAUCAGCAUGCCGCGGUGAAUACGUUCCCGGGUCUUGUACACACCGCCCGUCACACCACGAGAGUUUACAACACCCGAAGUCGGUGAGGUAACCGCAAGGAGCCAGCCGCCGAAGGUGGGGUAGAUGAUUGGGGUGAAAUCGUAACAA
rnacentral:rRNA from 1 species